ACCCGCUGAACUUAAGCAUAUCAAUAAGCGGAGGAAAAGAAACCAACAGGGAUUGCCUUAGUAACGGCGAGUGAAGCGGCAACAGCUCAAAUUUGAAAUCUGGCCUCUUUGGGGUCCGAGUUGUAAUUUGCAGAGGGCGCUUUGGCGUUGGCAGCGGUCCAAGUUCCUUGGAACAGGACGUCACAGAGGGUGAGAAUCCCGUACGUGGUCGCUAGCCUUCGCCGUGUAAAGCCCCUUCGACGAGUCGAGUUGUUUGGGAAUGCAGCUCUAAAUGGGAGGUAAAUUUCUUCUAAAGCUAAAUACUGGCCAGAGACCGAUAGCGCACAAGUAGAGUGAUCGAAAGAUGAAAAGCACUUUGGAAAGAGAGUCAAGCAGCACGUGAAAUUGUUGAAAGGGAAGCGCUUGCAGCCAGACUUGCCUGUAGUUGCUCAUCCGGGCUUUUGCCCGGUGCACUCUUCUGCGGGCAGGCCAGCAUCAGUUUGGGCGGUUGGAUAAAGGUCUCUGUCAUGUACCUCUCUUCGGGGAGGCCUUAUAGGGGAGACGACAUGCAACCAGCCCAGACUGAGGUCCGCGCAUUUGCUAGGAUGCUGGCGUAAUGGCUGU
rnacentral:rRNA from 1 species